AAAGUCGUAACAAGGUUUCCGUAGGUGAACCUGCGGAAGGAUCAUUAACAAAUCAGUUGUGUAAAAAGGAGGGUUGAUAAGACUAUUGGUUUUAUCAUUCUCUUUAUAAACACACAUUCACGCUUGUAUUGUUUGACAGAGUAAAAUUUAUAUUUAAAUCAGAGACAACUUUUAACAAUGGAUCUCUUGGCUCUU
rnacentral:misc_RNA from 1 species